UUGCCAGAGGGUGCUUUGGCGUCGGCAGCGGUCUAAGUUCCUUGGAACAGGACAUCACAGAGGGUGAGAAUCCCGUACGUGGUCGCCUGCAUUCGCCGUGUAAAGCCCCUUCGACGAGUCGAGUUGUUUGGGAAUGCAGCUCUAAAUGGGAGGUAAAUUUCUUCUAAAGCUAAAUACCGGCCAGAGACCGAUAGCGCACAAGUAGAGUGAUCGAAAGAUGAAAAGCACUUUGGAAAGAGAGUCAAAAAGCACGUGAAAUUGUUGAAAGGGAAGCGCUUGCAGCCAGACUUGCUCGUAGUUGCUCAUCCGGGCUCUUGCCCGGAGCACUCUUCUGCGAGCAGGCCAGCAUCAGUUUGGGCGACCGGAUAAAGGCCUCUGUCAUGUAUCUUCCUUCGGGAUGACCUUAUAGGGGAGGCGUAAUGCGGCCAGCCCGGACUGAGGUCCGCGCAUCUGCUAGGAUGCUGGCGUAAUGGCUGUAAGCGGCCCGUCUUGAAACACGGACCAAGGAGUCUAACAUCUAUGCGAGUGUUUGGGUGUCAAGCCCGGGCGCGUAAUGAAAGUGAACGGAGGUGGGAACCCUCUUUGGGGGUGCACCAUCGACCGAUCCUGAUGUCUUCGGAUGGAUUUGAGUAAGAGCAUAGCUGUUGGGACCCGAAAGAUGGUGAACUAUGCUUGAAUAGGGUGAAGCCAGAGGAAACUCUGGUGGAGGCUCGCAGCGGUUCUGACGUGCAAAUCGAUCGUCAAAUUUGGGCAUAGGGGCGAAAGA
rnacentral:rRNA from 1 species